AAUAUUGGACAAUGGGGGCAACCCUGACCUAGCAAUGCCGCGAGUGUGAAGAAGGUCUUCGGUUUGUAAAUCACUUUAAGUAGGGAGGAAGGGCUUUAGGUUAAUACCCUGAAGUAUUGACGAUACCAACAGAAUAAGCACCGGCUAACCCGGUGCCUGCAGCCGCGGUAACACAGUGGGUGCAAGCGUCAAUCGGAAUUACUGGGCGUAAAGCGCGCGUAGGUGGUUCAGUAAGAUAGGUGUGAGAUCCCCGGGCUUAACCUGGCAACUGCUUUCAUAACUGCGGAGCUAGAGUACGGUAGAGGGUAGUGGAAUUUCCUGUGUAGCGGUGAAAUGCGUAGAUAUAGGAAGGAACACCAGUGGCGAAGGCGACUACCUGGACUGAUACUGACACUGAGGUGCGAAAGCGUGGGGAGCAAACA
rnacentral:rRNA from 1 species